CUUUGUGCUCUAAACCUCAAGAGGUUAAAACUUCCAUGGUGGAAACGCCUCCUUUGAUGAGAGCCACGGUUUCUCAAACUUCAGCGAUCUCAAAUCAACUGGGCAAGGAGCGCUUCAGCCAACUUCAGCUACGAGAGGACCAUCUCAUCCAGAGCCAGGACAGCAGUUUGUUCAAUCACAAUGCGUUCAGAAAGGACAGACUCUACUGGAGCCAGAGUCAGGAUUUAUCCAAUGAGGAUCCUCGUCUUUAUAUUAAUACACAACAUCUGUUCCCCGAACGCCAGUCUAGAGCAGACCAGCCUGCAAAGCUUUGUCUAAAACUGAGAAAGGCAAGUCAUGACAGUGUUGACGGCGCUGGCUUUAAACUAUUUCAAGGUGACCCUGACUGGUCCUGUCAGCUUCAAACCAGCCCUCACCGCAGCCCAAAACAAAACAAUAUACUGUACACACAACACAGAAACACUGUUGAUGUCAGAAACAAUGACCACAUCUAUAUAGAAAGUCAGGUGGAUGUGAGCUCAAAGAAUGUAUUUGGUCAGCCCCGAGUUGUUGCGUCUCUGCGAGCAGCUUGCUCACCGCGGCCUGUUCGCAAGAGCACAGUGGUGGAGGACCUGAAAAAACUCAUUGUGAUGGAUGACACCGAGGCCAGCGCUCAGGGGGAUUCAUCGUCAAAUCAACAAAAAGUGCCAGAGCUUUGCAGUAGUUCGCCAAUGUCAGCUUCAUGUGCCAGUCCAUCAUUAUUCAGUUCCACUCCAGCACUCACACCAGUCCAUCUCCACCUGAAGACACGUCAGUCAGGCAAGUUAAUCCUUUAUGAGUGAUUUAUGCUAUGGACUGUUUAUAGUAUCCGUUUGCAUUCACUGGUUGUCUUUUUCUAGAAUGUGAUGUUUUGCCUGAGCAGGCUGAAUCUGACCUGUGGGAACAUCCUGACACUGAACUCAUUCCCCUGCCAAACACAGCCUGCGAGCUUGACUGGAAUAGUCUGGUUCAAGCAGCCCAAGAAUAUGAGACACAAAGGAUGGCAACACUUCUGUCACAAAUGAGUCCUGUAUCAAGCCGGCCAGACACACCGUCCUGUGAAACCUACAAGAUCCACCAGUCCAGUGCCUAUUUCAGUGAAGAAGAAAUGGACAGUGAUGUGUUUAUUGACUUUCCUGACCAACUCUCUCACCUGGAAGGGAUGGUUAGGCGACUGAGCGGUGAUCUGCUGAAGGAGAAAAGAGACAAGGUGGCUCUUCUGACAGAGGUGUUGAAGCUCCGCAUUAGCAAUCAGCAUCUGAGAGAAGAGUCGCUCUGUGCUGUUGAACAGCUACACAAAAUCAGCAACAUUUUAAACACAACACCUGGAGAAUAAUGCAAGGUUGGAAGAAAAAUGUGUGGAA